GCUGUUGUUUGGAGACCUUCGGGUGGAAGGAUGACAGACUGAGUGGCGGACGGGUGAGUAACGCGUGGGUAACCUACCUUGCACAGGGGGACAACAGUUGGAAACGACUGCUAAUACCGCAUAAGACCACAGUACCGCAUGGUACAGGGGUAAAAACUGAGGUGGUGCAAGAUGGACCCGCGUCUGAUUAGCUAGUUGGUGGGGUAAAGGCCUACCAAGGCGACGAUCAGUAGCCGACCUGAGAGGGUGAUCGGCCACAUUGGGACUGAGACACGGCCCAAACUCCUACGGGAGGCAGCAGUGGGGAAUAUUGGACAAUGGGGGGAACCCUGAUCCAGCGACGCCGCGUGAGUGAAGAAGUAUUUCGGUAUGUAAAGCUCUAUCAGCAGGGAAGAAAAUGACGGUACCUGACUAAGAAGCCCCGGCUAACUACGUGCCAGCAGCCGCGGUAAUACGUAGGGGGCAAGCGUUAUCCGGAUUUACUGGGUGUAAAGGGAGCGCAGACGGCUUGGCAAGUCUGAAGUGAAAGCCCGGGGCUUAACCCCGGGACUGCUUUGGAAACUGUGAAGCUAGAGUGUCGGAGAGGUAAGUGGAAUUCCCAGUGUAGCGGUGAAAUGCGUAGAUAUUGGGAGGAACACCGGUGGCGAAGGCGGCUUACUGGACGAUAACUAACGUUGAGGCUCGAAGGCGUGGGGAGCAAACAGGAUUAGAUACCCUGGUAGUCCACGCGGUAAACGAUGAAUACUAGGUGUCGGGGGACAUAGUCUU
rnacentral:rRNA from 1 species